UACGUAGGGUCCGAGCGUUGUCCGGAAUUAUUGGGCGUAAAGGGCGCGUAGGCGGUUCGUUAAGUCCUGUGUGAAUCCCCGAGCUCAACUCGGGAACUGCCGUCCGAUACUGGCGGGCUUGAAUCCGGGAGAGGGAUGCGGAAUUCCGAGGUGUAGCGGUGAAAUUCGUUAGAUAUCGCAAGAACACCAGUGGCGGAAGGCGGCUCACUGCCCGAGUACUGACGCUGAGGUGCGAAAG
rnacentral:rRNA from 1 species